AACGAACGCUGGCGGCGGGCCUCAUACAUGCAAGUCGAGCGCGAAAGUCCGCAAGGAUGAGUAAAGCGGCGCACGGGUGAGUAACACGUGGAUAAUCUACCCUUUGGAUUGGAAUAACCUGCCGAAAGACGGGCUAAUGCCGAGUAAGCUCUCGGGAGCGUGAAGCUCUUGCGAGGAAAGAUGGCGCAAGCUAUCGCCGAUGGAUGAGUCUGCGUCCCAUUAGUUAGUUGGUGAGGUAACAGCUUACCAAGACGAUGAUGGGUACCUGGUCUGAGAGGAUGAUCAGGUACACUGGAACUGAAACACGGUCCAGACUCCUACGGGAGGCAGCAGUAGGGAAUAUUGCGCAAUGGACGAAAGUCUGACGCAGCCACGCCGCGUGAGUGAGGAAGGCCUUCGGGUUGUAAAGCUCUGUCAUCCGGGAAAAACGGCUAUCUGGGGAAAGUUCAGGUAGCGUGAUGGUACCGGAGGAGGAAGCACCGGCAAACUCUGUGCCAGCAGCCGCGGUAAUACAGAGGGUGCAAGCGUUGUUCGGAAUUACUGGGCGUAAAGCGUGCGUAGUCGGUAUUGAGAGUCACGGGUGAAAUCCCAGGGCUUAACCCUGGAACUGCCUGUGAGACCUCAGUACUAGAGUGUGAGAGGGGAUAGUGGAAUACCCAGUGUAGCGGUGAAAUGCGUAGAGAUUGGGUGGAACACCGGUGGCGAAGGCGGCUAUCUGGCUCACACUGACGAUCAGGCACGAAAGCGUGGGGGAGCAAACAGG
rnacentral:rRNA from 1 species